rnacentral:lncRNA from 1 species
GAAUAUUCCCUUAACACAUUUCCCUACCAUUUUUUUACCUCACAUGCAUUACAUCUCAAGACAAUAUUGGUGUUGUUUUUCUUAGAAAAAAAAAACUCCAAUAACUCAUAAAGCGCAAUCCAGGUGGGAGCUUAGAAACCCUUAACAAAAUCCAAAAUCUCUAUUUACCUAAACAGGAUUAAAGCCUACAAAAGAGAGAAACAUAAGGAACUAUCUAUGCCCUUUUGGCACUAGAGGAAUUGUGAUCUCAUGCAGCCGAUAUUGGGUGCAAGGAGACAAACUGUUUGGGAUCUGACACUAAUGUUAUGCGUAAGUUUCUUGAAUGCUGAUCCGCUUUUUUUUUUUUUUUGGUUCUGGAGUGGAUAAGUUUAUUGAUUUUACUUCCUUUGGGUUGACCUAGGAUGCCCUUUCAUUGAGCAUGUUAUCUGUUUUUCGAGGUUUGAUUAGGUCAAGCUAAAGUUUUGUAUUGUGUAUUUUUUCUGAUGAUCUUGAUUGAUAUAUAAAUCCUAUUUUGGUUUAAUUGUGUUUAGACACCAUGCAGUGUUUGGAGCAAUUUAGCAUUUUCAGCGUACCUCUUGCUUCAAAUGAAAAUUAAGGUAAUAAAGAGGUAACUGCAUAGCCUUCAACUUAGGAAUUAUUUCUUUAUUGUUUAAGUUCGAAAGUCAGUCAGACAGUAUUCAUGAGACUCUAUAGUCCUACAAGGGGCUGGAACAGAUUUUGAUUUCUAGUUCACUUUGUUAUUUCUGGGGCUGGUACUUCAUGUGACUGGUGCCAUGCAGCUCAACUAAACAGAAUUUCCAAUGUCAACGGAAGUAAAUGAGUUUAGAAUUAUUAAUUCUGAUAAGAAAAUAGUAAAAGCUACUUAUUAAUAGAAGCUAAAGAAGAUAAGAAAAUAAAGAAAUGGGGGCAGUGUGACGCCCCGAAAAAAAAUGAGUUUGAGAACCCGGAAAUUUUUUUAAUUUUCUAGGGUUUAUUUUUUAUUAUUUUUUUUAAUCGCCCGCCUUUUCUACAUUUUCUUGAUUAGAAAAAUUCCCCAGAUAAAAUUUAUGAGCAAAGAUAGUUUUAAAAUGAUUUUUCUAGUAUCGGUUAGUUUUUGAGAAAUUAAGAGCGUAUUUUGAACGUGGGACCCGCAAGUGCGGUAAAUGCAUUAUAUUUUUGACAACUUGUUGAAAUUUUGUAUUAAGUGAUAUUAUUUUACAAAGUGUUAAGAUAUUUGUAUUGGAGAGACAAAAAGAUAAGAUUAAAACCCUAAAGGACCAUUUGUCACAAAACCAUUGGACCUUGACUUUUGACCAAGACUUUUCUAACUUUACUAAAACCAAUUUGGACCCAAUUUCUCUCCAUUUUAGCUUGUCUCGGACGAAAUUUUGAGAGAAAAAGAGAGAGAAAAUCCAUCAUCUUGCACUUCAAUUUCUUGUCCAAAUCUUGAGUUCCAACCGAUUAAAUUGCAAAUCACUCCAUAAAACUUGCUAGCUAAGGAAGAUUGAAGCUCUUGGUGGAGUUGUUUUGGAAGAAAAAUCCCUAAGUCAUCACCUUUCUUGAUAUUUGAAGGUAUCAUGUCUAGCCAUCCUUUCUUUGUUCUUGAUUAUGCUAAAUUAGAGACUUGUGAUGGCUAAAGAGAUGGUUUGAUGGAUUAUAUUUUGAGUUGUGGUUGGAUGGAUGAACUUUUAUUAUUUUUGGGGAUUUUUCUGUUUUAAUAUGAGUAUGAUUAUGUGGUUAUGUAUGAUGAUUGGAAAUGAUGUUUAAUGACUCUAGGAGGUGGAAAAAGUGAUUAAUUGCAACCAAUUUCUGUUUUGGACCAAAAAUUGAAAAGUGAGGGUUUUGUGAUGAACAUUCUGUCCGAAUUUUUAGGUCCUAGAUAGAGGCCGAAUUGGCCUUUGCUUAAAACAUGAAAGUUGUAGGGAAUGACAUUUUAGAGCUGCCUACAACAUUUCAGGUCAAUCGGAGUAGUGUGGAAUGAGAUAAGUCGAAAUUACUAUUGCUGUUCUGGGUUACCCAGAAUUGGAAAUCUGCGACUGUAAUUGGUUGUUUUCGCUGGAAUUUAUUCCGAAUUGGUUAUUGAGGUAUUCUGAUGAAAUGUAGCCAUGUUUCGUAGCUUUCAGAUGGUUUUGGAAUUUCUGGAUUUGGACUUGUGUAGGCUGAGUUAUGAUGUUUACGCUAGAAUGCGUUUUGCAAACCUGUUUUCGUGAUUCUGGUAUAGCAUCUUGCAUUUUUGACCUGGUUACACUGGAAACUGAGUUGAGUGACCUUCUACAAUAUUGUACCCCUAUCUCUUAGCUUCGAAACGGUGGGUCUUGCACCUUCAUCCGACAAUCGUAGCGCCUUUGGUACCAUUACCGCAAAAUGACGUCAAAACCUGUUUUUCUGGUUUUGAGCUUAACUUUCAUUUCCGGACUUUUCCCUAGUUUGACUUGUACUAGUACUACUUGGAGUUUGCUGAAUGGCUAUUGGAUGAACUUGUUGUUGUGUGUGUAUCUUUGGGUUUGAAUGAGAAGAAUAAUGAAGCCAUGAUGGCUGGAAAAGUUAGCAAAUUCAGGGGAAGUGCUGUCCGAACUUUGAAGGGACUUGAUUGCAUUGAGUUUGUGAUCUAAGACUUGGAUUUGAGCAAGACAGUGAUAUAUGAUGGUUGGUUCCUGAGCCGUGGAGGUGAGUGACCUCAAACUACUUCUAAAGUUAUUUAUGAACCGUUUCUUACAUUAUUUACUUUUGAACUGUUUCCAAAGUUACUUUUGAAAUGUUUUCUUGCAUAUCAUGUGUGCUGGCAUUUGAGUGUGCCUUGUUUGCUAUAUUUCUUGACUUCAUGACUUGUAUUUUGGUUGAUAACGUGUUAAGCGCUUAUAAUGAUUUCCAAAACGAGUUUUCGAGGCGAGUGUGUACUUUAUCGCACUCGACCUCGAUAAAUGUGAAAUUUUCAAUUGAAAUGUUACUUGCGCAUGAAUGUAAGCCUCUUGGACUGAACUGGCCAUUGCCCCUUGUUACCGGUCGUCUUGAGCCAGAAGCGGACUCGGUCAGGCGAUUAGGAACUUGGGUGAACGUUUGGUAUACUCGAGUAUUACCUAAGUAUGUUGGUGGAGCCUGGCCAAAAGCCAGGGACGGGGUGAAUGAAAUGAAAUGAAUGACCAAAUGAGCGGGAAAAUGUCAGGAGAAUGAAUGUAUCCUUUCAUGAAUGUUACUAUCGUUUUCCAUUGUAAAUGUUUCUUGAAUUAUUGAUAAUCCAUAUUUACUGUUUUGCAAAUGAUGUAGUUGUUUCCGGAUUUAUCAUUUAAUUUAUGACAUCAUUGCUAUAUGACAUCAUUGAAAUGAACUAUUGUGAAACCGAUUUGAUUAAUGAUUUUCUGGUUACUCGCUGAGCUUUUAGCUCACCCCAAAAACUAUUUAUUCCCCUCCACAGGGCUCGUGGCAAAGGAAGGACUUGUAGUACUUGUGCACGUGUAUGGAUGGCCUAAACUUUGUACAAUUUUGGAUUUGGAAUUAUUUUAUGUAUAUUUGGGAUUAGUUUCCGCUGCAUUUGUGACAUGUAAUUAUUGGAGACGGAUGUGUAUUUGUGGACCAGUUGAUGUAUAUUUGAUUUUUAUAUUGUAAUUUAAUUGAGGACUGUAGUGAACGACUGAGUCCCGGCGAGAGCUGGGCAGGCGGCCUGCCGAACCCUCUGGUUCGCCUCAGGGGGAGGUGGGGCUGUCACAGGCAGCAUUAUGUAGAAUUAUUAAUUCUGAUUACGUUUUUGACUUUUGUCUAAUUUAUAAACAAAGAGAACGAUUGGCAACCAUUUACUAGCAUGUAAGAUGACUUAAUUCACAUUAUAUUUACACCAUUCAACAUAAAAGUAGAACUUCAAUAUAAGAAUAAAAUUUCAUGGAAGAUUAUGGUUAUUGGCUUGGCAACACUAACUCUAUAGGAAAAGGGUCAUUUUUCUUGACUAAGAGUUACGGUUUUAGUAUGCUUGUUUAAGGAUAUACUGCUCUACCCUGAGACACUCAAAGCUGGAUUUUCUGCGUGUUUCUCUUUGUGCAUGUGCAUUUGCAUGAUUUUUCACCAUAGUAGUGUUGGAUUAUGAAAUUUUUGAGUCAGCCAGAAGUUGCCCACUAAUUGUAUUCAUAACGUUAACUCCUGCGACGGCUAAUGGGCAGUGCACCAUUGUUGAAUAUGUAAUUAAGUUGACAUCAUUAAGGCACUUCCCGUUUCUAGUGUAGAUCACUAGUGAUGGCUUAUGGACGUAAAAUGAGUCUGAAUACAAUGAAAUCAGUAGUCUUGAGGGCCAAUAUGCAGAUGGAAAAUCAGAAGUUGAAAGUGCAAAUGGAGACGGGCCUACUAUUUUAUCUGCAAAUUUAGGGUUGGACAGGCUUAUUUCUGGUGCUAUCAGGGACAAAUCUCCGUUGAAGUUAUGGAGGACUUAUGGUGAAUUUUGGGAAUCUCAAACUGAAGGCUCUACAGUGGGCGAAGGUUCGGAACAACCUGCAGAUGAUGGUGUCCACAAAAUCAACAAAGAUGCAUCACAUGGUAGGUUUUAUAGGUCACCAAAAGAAUCACUUAAAGCAACAAUAGUUCACCAGGGCAGAAAAUGGCAUGGGCGGGUAUCUUUCCUCUGGACAAUUGUCAAAUGAAUUCUUGGAGGUUGGAGUUGGGUAGCGAAUUACACUUGGAGUUGGUUAGCGUAGAGAUGACCGAAGGUUUCUUGGAUGAGGGGGCAGCGGUAACGAUCGACGAAGAUAGCGAUGCAAGUAAUGACGAAAGGGAUAUUGUUCUGCCUCAUGUGGCUGGAAAUUUAUCUCCAAGAUCGGUGGUAGUACUAGAGCCGACUCUGAAUACUUCCAAUACGGAGUUAAACAUUAAUUCCCUUGACGAUAAUGGCAAGUUGGGUAAGAAGGCAAAGGGAAAUGGAUUACGUCCUCGAAUUCAAUCAGACAGGCAGCUCCGGUCCUCAACUAAUAUCAAUAACUCAUUUCAGGUAUUACACAAUGAUUAAUACGUUAAUGUGGAAUAUUAGAGGGGUGUCAAAAGCGCCCAAUCUGAGAAGAUUGAAAAAUAUUAUUCGCACACAUGGCUGUAGACACCAAAAUUUCAUCAUUUUUUUAUUUUAUUCGUUUAUUUUAUUUAUUUUGCUUCAUCUUACAUUUUGAGGAAAAAAACAUUUUUUAGAAAAUCAAAAAAAGAAGAAAAAUCGAAAAAAAAAAUUUAGCAUUUUUAUUUCAUUUUAGUUGAUUUUGUCUAAAUUUUUGUCUAUUUCCAUUUUGUUAAAGAAAAUCAUUUUAUUAUUAUUAUUAUUAUUGUUGUUGUUAUUAUCGUCGUUAUUAUUGUUAUUCAUUUAUUGGAAAGAAAUUCAGCUUAAAAAAAAAAACGGAAGCCACACGCCCGUGUUUCCUCCUUCAUACGAAGGAUGUAAACUGGAAAAUGAUACAGAAGCAGGGACAUCCCAUCGUUGCUCCAAGGGUUUUAGGGACCUGGGGUUUCCUAUAAAAGAAAAAAGAGCAGCAGGGACAAUGGGUAAGAGGAGUUGGCGGCUGGGCUGAGUAGGAAAAAGCAGAGGAAAGGGUUUGGAGAAAGAAACAGAGAGAGAGCUAGAGGGUAGAAAGCAUAUCUGGGCGGCGGCUGAAGACAUAACCGAGAGAGCUCUAGAUAGGAGGAUUCUGGUGACGGCGAAAAAGAAAAGAGGAGAAUCUGGUUGGCGGCUAAGAGGACAUAUCGGGUGGAUGGCUGAAAAUUUGGAGGAAAAAGAGAGUUUGGAGUGGCGGCUGAGGGUUAGAUAGAAAGCAAGAAAGGAAGAGAGAAAACUGAGGGGAAAACAAGGAAAGUGAGAGAGAUAGCUAGAGGGAAAGAGCGGAAAAGAAAGAGCUUCAAGAGUGGGGAGGAGAGAUAGAGGUGACGGCGGAAGAAGGAAAACCCACGGAGGAACAAAAAAGCUUCGGGCAGUAGCAAGAAAAGAAGACGGCUGAGGAAGCUUUAGGGUUGGGAGAUGGAAUGAGAGAAGAGACAGGAGAGAACUAGAGAGAACCGAGAGUGAAACAGAGAGAGAGGGUUUCGUGGAAGCAAAAGGAAGAAAAGAAGUUGCAGGAGGAGAGCUGAAGCAAGGAAGAAACCAGGAGGCUUCUUUUCCAGAAAUUUCAUAGAAGUCAACUCUGGCUCAUCUUCUUUGGCCUCAGCCUCGUCAAAGAAUCAUCAUCAGGUGAUUGUAAACUCUUGGUUUAAUACGGUUUUUAUAGAGUUUUGGGUCCCCUAUGCAUGAAGAUGUUCUUUUUUUUUCAAGUUUCUGUGAUUGUCAAUGCUUGAUAGUGAUGAUUGUGGAUCUGCUUGUUGAUGUUGUUGUGCUGUUGAUAAACCUGGUAGCGCCCCUUUGUUCAUUCAAAGUGAAUCUGAACCAAAGAAAUGCAAUCGAGAAUCCAUGAACAGAUCAUGUUUCCCAUAUAUGUAAUCCGAUGAACUAAAGGUCGCACCUUUGGUCCUUGUUUGUGUGUACAAGUUGGGUCUGAGAAUUCUUAGGAGUACAAACUACAAGAUUCAAUUUUGAUUGUUGGCUUGGGUUGGAAGUUUGGUACUUGUUUGGAUUUUUGGCAUGAAACCCAGAAAUUGCAGUUUAGGAAACCAGGUUUCUGCUAAGAAGAUGCAUGAACUGUCAAACCUUUUUGCCGCUGGUUUAUUGAGCUUGUUCCAUAGCUUUAUCAUGUUUACUCUUUGAUGUCUCUCUUUCCAUUGUUUUCCUUUUUUCUUCUGUCUUGUGUAUCUUGGGCAUGAGUUUUUGAAAUAAAAAGCAUCGGCUGCAUGAUUUGGCUGGGAUUUCAUUUUCCUUUCGGUUUGUGCUUGGAUAGAACCAAUAUAGGAGAGUUGUAGAAGAAUUAUUGUGAAAGAUUUGUUUGAUUGAAUGAUUGAAUUUCUAUGAUGUUUGUUGUUUAAGAUCAAAACCUCGAAGUUUGUCAUGUUAACAAAGAGAACUUGCGGUAAAAAACUAGAAAAGCUGCAGACGAAACCAGUGAAGAAAAUGGCAUGUUCCGUUCCUAUUUUGAAAUGUUCUUUGCUUGUUCGGAUGUCAAAAUUUUCUGGUUUUGUUGCUGAAGCUUUUAGUUUGAUUAAAGUCUGUGAUUUGUGGUUCAAUUAUGCAUGUCUAUCUUAAGUUUUUGCUUUCCAUCUCUGUCGCGCCCCAUUUUUUGCAAGAAAAAUAAAUAAAUGGUUUGAAAGUGAAUUUUUGAUUUGAAAAGUGAUUUUUGAUUUACAAAGAAAGUGGGUCUAAAUGGGACUUGAAAAUGCGACGAUUUGACCCAAAAUAUAGUUUAAAAAGGGUUUUUGAAAUAAAAAUCGGAGUCGCCACUUGGUAUAGAGUUAAAGUGUACCAAGUCACCUAAAAAUAAAUUUUUUAAAGGAAAAAGAUAGAAAAGAAACCCCUUUUAAAUGACUCCUAGUCUACGUAAACCAAUGAAAAAAGGUUCGGGAGUCACAUUUGACGAAGGGGAAGGCAAUGAUGAAAUCCAAGGCACCCCUUCGACCUAGCCAAGGCUAGUUGCGUGAUUUAGUCAAAGAUUUUCUUGUUUUAACCAAAACAUUUAUCACAUUUGGAUGCACUAUAUGAAUGCAAAACCUAGACCUAGGGGGACAUCGAGGGGCAAAAUUUCUCUUCAAAGUUUGAAUGGUGCCAAUCACAUUAAUAGUGAUGCCCAAUAAUGACUCUUUGGAGAGGUCACGAAUAAUGCUAAUGACGGCAAAUGAGUGGAAUGAAUGUAUGCAAUGUGAAAAUAUGAGUUUGCGUGAAGUGAAAAAGUAAUAAAAAACAAUAGUGUGUAAGUGGAAGUGUGCAAAUGGAUGUGCAAAGUAAGGUGAGUAGAGUGAUAGUAUGAAGUGCGUGUGUGCACGUGAUAGUAUAUAAAGUGUAAGUGGCAGAGUGAAAACGUGCAAAAUAAAAGUUGUGUGAAGUGAAAAUGUGGAAAAAUGGAUAGAAUAUGAAGUAAAAGUGCAUGUGAUAGUGGAUAAAUGAAAUGCAUGAAACCUAGAGGAAUGCAAGCAAGACGGGUACAGGGGACUAAUGUCCGUGACUCAAUUUUCCCUUUAAUAGAGGGAAUACGAGCGUGCUAAGGCUAGAAAAGCCAAACUCCUCCAUAUCCCAUAUCCAAGGGGUGACUCCCUAACCUAUACAAGCAAAUGAGCUAAUCUAAAUGAAAAUGUAAUCCUAAAUGUGUAAGGGAAAGGGAGUGAAGGGUCAUGCAAAAAUGUGAAAACUAAAAGGAAAGAAUGAAUAAAGAUGUAGUGAAGGCAUGCGAGUAUGUACUAGCGAGAGGGGGCCCUAUUGGGUCUAGCAUUGGACUAGCCCUUUACUAACGCUCAUUUACAAGCAUUGGACUUGUAAGAACUCGAGGGGAAGGCCAUGACUAGCAUUGGACUAGCCACGGUAACGUGCAUUCCAUCCAUCAUACACAUAUAUAAGUAACGUGCAUAACUAAAGCAAGUAAACAUGUGAGCACGUAAUUUACAUAACACAUAAGCAUGCAUAUCUAGAUGCCAAAGCCUAAGAAAGCGAUUAAACACAUAGCACCUAAGCAUGCAAAACACAUAAGGCAAUUAAGGCCCUAACUAUUACAUUUUUAGAGGGGAAGGCCUACUACAAUCUAAAAGGGGAAAUGAAAUGAAAUAAAUAGUUAAAAUAAAUCUAACUAUUACAAUUGCGGCACUCAAGUGCCUUCCCAAAUGAUCAAAAUGAACUAAAAUAAAUAUACGAAAUUAAGGCAAGUAAAGCGAACAAAUAAAUAAAUAAAAGGAAAACAUUCAAAAAGGACAUGCAAUUAACACAUAAAUCACAUAGACACAUAGGGUCAAAUAAAGUGAAAAUAAGGGAUAGAGUGUACCUCCCUUGCAAUGGUAAUCAAAUGAAGGAAAAAUUAGCUUCAAAACAAUAAAAAGGUCAAGGUACCACUUUAAUUAAGAAAAAUUAAAAGAAGUGUGCAAAUACAAAGCUCACUUGAUCACAAAGCCCCUAAAAUCAUGACUUAAGUGCAAUUGGAACAAAGCAUAGUAGUUAAUUGAAGCAAACAAGCAAUGAAGUUGUAAAAUUAAAACUACCAAGGACCAAAUUGAGGAGAUUAUUCAAUUGAUUGGGUCAUAGCAGCAUUAGUUAGAAGCCAAGGGGUCAAGAUGCAAUUUUUGAAAUUAUUCAUGCACGGCUUACGAGGAGCUUUCUUCUUCAUUGCUGGUUUUCUACUGCUACUUUAGAACUUAUUCAGACACCCUUUGCAAAUUCGAGCAAAGACCAGCAAACUCAUUAGCCAAAACCCAUUAAAAGCUUGAACACUCUUUGAUUAACACAAACCAACCGCAGGAAACAAAUCGUUGAAGAUCAAACGAGGACCCAAAUGGCAGAACGUGCAGCGACAGAGAAAACAAAACCAGCUUUCUGGUGAAUCCUAGAUGGGUUUAUCACAAGCUAACAAGUUACGGAACUUGCAAAGCAACAAAGGCAAUUAUUCACGAUCAACUUCUGACUUCUGAACGGAAUCCACCCAACCCAUCCAAUGUAUUAAACCCAGCAAGAAUUACAAAGCAAAAGCUGCAUUUUCGGAUUCAUGAAUACCAUUUCUUCUCAUUCAAACAUAGCUAAUGACUGUUGCCUUUUCCUUAACUCGGAUUUGUCGAGAUUCAAGUUCAAGUACAUACAAAAUCUAAACACUCAAGCACAUGAAAUCAAUAUUCACUGAUGUAAAGGGGAUUUUAAACAAAUGACUUGCGGGAACAUGGGGAAGGAAAAAAAAAACAGCAGAGGAUGAACCAACAAAAAAUAAAACACAGCAGCAAAAAAAAACCUCGACGUUUCUGAUCUAAAUCUAACGAUAUCUGACUGGAAAGAGAGGAGAAUAUUACCUUAAUCACGAAACGAAGCGUGAGAUGACCCAGGAAAAGGGCUCAGAUGGAUCUGCCGGAUCUUCGAAGGUGCGCCAGUGGGCUUUGGGGCUGCGGUGAUGGCAGUGGUGAUGGAGUCUCGACUUCAAUGGCUGCUGCAGCUUCCCUCCACAGCAAUUUCCCUUCCCUCGUUGCUUUCUUUUGUCAGUUGAAACCCUCUUUCAAUCUCUUCUUCCUCUCUCGUUUUUCUUUUCUCAGUUUUCCUUUUCUUUUCUCGCCUCCGCCGCCACCCGAAGCUUACUAUCUGGUUUUUCCU